rnacentral:rRNA from 1 species
CCUACGGGAGGCAGCAGUGAGGAAUAGUGGUCAAUGGACGAGAGUCUGAACCAGCCAAGUAGCGUGAAGGAUGACUGCCCUAUGGGUUGUAAACUUCUUUUAUAGGGGAAGAAAAUGUGCCACGUGUGGGAUGUUGUAUGUACCAUAUGAAUAAGGAUCGGCUAACUCCGUGCCAGCAGCCGCGGUAAUACGGUGGAUCCGAGCGCUAUCCGGAUUUAUUGGGUUUAAAGGGAGCGUAGGUGGCUUGUUAAGUCAGUUGUGAAAGUUUGCGGCUCAACCGUAAAAUUGCAGUUGAAACUGGCAGUCUUUAGUACAGUCGAGUUGGGCGGACUUCGUGUUGUAGCGG